UUCCGUUUGCCAAAGCGCGUUAUGGCGAAGCACCUGCAGCAAAUUCAUUACGAGGCUCAACUCCCUCUAACCUGGUCAGGGAAGAGAGGAGGAAGAAAAAAGAGAGGGGGGUGAGAGACGUCCACCCCCCCACCCCCCAAAUAAAAAGCGCGAACAAUGCUGCCUCAGUUCGUGCGCGCAACAAAAGAACCGAGGGAACUUGUUUGAAUUUCAGAGCACGUCCUCUGCUUACACAGAAGGAUGGACUUUACAUCUUCUCCUCCUCCUGUCCACAUCAUCAUCAUCACCAUCACCAUCAUCAUCAACCCCCCCCCAUCUCGCCACCAACAGAGAGAGGGGGUGAAAAAAAACGUGCACACUUUGCGCUCAUCUGUGCCAUGCACUUUUUCUAGUUGGCGCUCGUAUAGCUGUUCUGGGAAAGUUGUGUCUCUCUCCCUUGCGUUUCCCCACAUCCCCUCUUCCCUCCCUCUCUCACCUCCUCCCUCCUUCCUUCUCCUCCUCUCCGUCUAUCAUGUGGUGGUGAUGUGCUCGUGCUUUGCACACAGCAGCUGAAGCACGCUAAUACAGGCGACUGAGUGUGAGCGGCAACUUUAAAGUGAACCCCCCCCCCCCCCCCCCCCCAAAAAAAAAGAAAAAAAAAUCACGGCUGGGAUAUUUGAGGGGUACAUUUACCACAUGACGGUACGGACCCGACUGAACAGCACGCUCCUUCUCCUGCUUUGGACGGGUUUCUGAUCGAUUGCAGUGAUUUUUGGUUCACCCUUUGGAAAUGCUCAAGAAACGGAUCUGUGGAGAACUGCAGCCAGUAGGUCAUCGCUGCGUCGUCGGGAUCGCCACCGCUGCUGAUCCUACCUGAGUGCUGCAGGAAUAAGGAGGUGUAGAGAAGAGGUGUUGUACCAGAACUCGCGGGCCUCAGUGUGCAGCCGGGUUACCUGGCCUAAUUACUCCCAGUAUUACCACGUUUGCCUGACUGCAUGGAAGGGAAAAUUAGAACAGCAAGGCAUGUCACCGGGCAGAAAAAGUCAGUGCUCAAGUCUCUUUGAAACCUCUUGACCCUCGCAGAGAGGUUGGAUGGUGACCCCGUAGAUGGUGACCCAGAAACAAAUAAUGGCACGAGUCUCCAGGCUAAAGACGUCAAGGAUAUUCAUCUGAUCUCAGAGGUAAAAAUGUACCUGAAGUCAACGAGAGAAGAUCCCGGAUGCAAUUGAAACUGGAGCGUUGAGAAGUGCACAAUUCUCUCUCCAAGACUUUGACCUGGAUUAUGAUUGAAUUCAUGGGACUGAAACACCAAAUUGUUCCUUGUUGGACGGAG